GCAGUGGUGGUUCAGUGGUAGGAUUCUCACUUUCCAAGCGGGAGACCCAGGUUCGAUUCCCCGCCAGUGCA
rnacentral:tRNA from 1 species